rnacentral:rRNA from 1 species
ACCCCGGUGAACUUAAGCAUAUCAAUAAGCGGAGGAAAAGAAACCAACAGGGAUUGCUCAGUAACGGCGAGUGAAGCGGCAACAGCUCAAAUUUGAAAUCUGGCCUCGGCCCGAGUUGUAAUUUGCAGAGGAUGCUUCUGGCAACGUGCCUUCCGAGUCCCCUGGAACGGGGCGCCGGAGAGGGUGAGAGCCCCGUACGGUUGGACGCCGCGCCUGUGUGAAGCUCCUUCGACGAGUCGAGUAGUUUGGGAAUGCUGCUCUAAGCGGGAGGUAAAUUCCUUCUAAAGCUAAAUACCGGCCAGAGACCGAUAGCGCACAAGUAGAGUGAUCGAAAGAUGAAAAGCACUUUGGAAAGAGGGUUAAAAAGUACGUGAAAUUGCUGAAAGGGAAGCGCCUGCGACCAGACUCGCGCCGGGCGAAUCAUCCAGCGUUCUCGCUGGUGCACUUCGCCCGGUCCGGGCCAGCAUCGGUUCUGACGGGGGGACAAAAGCCCGGGAAAUGUAGCUCCCUCCGGGGAGUGUUAUAGUCCCUCGCCUAAUACCCCCGCCGGGACCGAGGACCGCGCUUUACGCAAGGAUGCUGGCAUAAUGGUCGUCGGCGACCCGUCUUGAAACACGGACCAAGGAGUCGAACAUUUGUGCGAGUGUUUGGGUGGAAAACCCUCACGCGCAAUGAAAGUGAACUUUGGUGGGAGCCUCGGCGCACCACCGACCGAUCCUGAAGUUUUCGGAUGGAUUUGAGUAGGAGCAUAACUGUUCGGACCCGAAAGAUGGUGAACUAUGCCUGUGUAGGGUGAAGCCAGAGGAAACUCUGGUGGAGGCUCGCAGCGGUUCUGACGUGCAAAUCGAUCGUCAUACAUGGGCAUGGGGGCGAAAGACUAAUCGAACCAUCUAGUA